GAUAAGGGCCUAAAUACCCAAAAGGCACCAAAUCUCAUCUGAUUGUGGAAGUUAAGCAAGGUCAGCAUUGGUUAGUACUUGGAUGAGAGAUCACCAACAAAUACCACCCACUGUAACUG
rnacentral:rRNA from 11 species